GAUGAACGCUAGCUACAGGCUUAACACAUGCAAGUCGCAGGGUAACAUGAGGAAAGCUUGCUUUCCUUGAUGACGACUGGCGCACGGGUGAGUAACGCGUAUCCAACCUUCCCAUAACUACGGGAUAACCCGUUGAAAGACGGCCUAAUACCGUAUGAUAUCGUUUGCUGACAUCAAAUAACGAUUAAAGGUUUAGCGGUUAUGGAUGGGGAUGCGUCUGAUUAGCUUGUUGGCGGGGUAACGGCCCACCAAGGCGACGAUCAGUAGGGGUUCUGAGAGGAAGGUCCCCCACAUUGGAACUGAGACACGGUCCAAACUCCUACGGGAGGCAGCAGUGAGGAAUAGUGGUCAAUGGGCGAGAGCCUGAACCAGCCAAGUAGCGUGCAGGACGACGGCCCUAUGGGUUGUAAACUGCUUUUAUGUGGGGAUAAAGUGCGUGACGUGUCAUGCAUUGCAGGUACCACAUGAAUAAGGACCGGCUAAUUCCGU
rnacentral:rRNA from 1 species